GACGAACGCUGGCGGCGUGCCUAAUACAUGCAAGUCGAGCGCUGAAGGUUGGUACUUGUACCAACUGGAUGAGCAGCGAACGGGUGAGUAACGCGUGGGGAAUCUGCCUUUGAGCGGGGGACAACAUUUGGAAACGAAUGCUAAUACCGCAUAAAAACUUUAAACACAAGUUUUAAGUUUGAAAGAUGCAAUUGCAUCACUCAAAGAUGAUCCCGCGUUGUAUUAGCUAGUUGGUGAGGUAAAGGCUCACCAAGGCGAUGAUACGUAGCCGACCUGAGAGGAUGGUGGGCAACACGGGAAGUGAGCAACGGUACAGAGUACGACGGGAGGAAGAAGUGGGGAAUAUUGGACAAUGGGCGAAAGCAGGACGGAGAAAGACGGGGUGAGUGAAGAAGGUGUUGGGGUGGUAAAGCCCGUUUGUUGGGAAAGAAAAGAAGUGGGUGGAAAUAUCGAGGGUGUGACGGUAGCUAAAGAAAAAGCAACGGCUAACUACGUG
rnacentral:rRNA from 1 species